rnacentral:rRNA from 1 species
ACGCUGGCGGCACGCCUAACACAUGCAAGUCGAACGAAGUAGCAAUACUUAGUGGCAGACGGGUGAGUAACAUGUAGGUAUCUGCCCUUUGGCCUGGAAUAACACGAGGAAACUUGUGCUAAUACCGGAUAAGUCUUUACGGAGAAAGCUUUAUGCACCAUUGGAUGAGCCUGCACUUGAUUAGUUUGUUGGUGGGGUAAUGGCCUACCAAGACUGUGAUCAAUAGCUGAUUUGAGAGGAUGAUCAGCCACAUUGGGACUGAGACACGGCCCAAACUCCUACGGGAGGCAGCAGUGGGGAAUCUUGCACAAUGGAGGAAACUCUGAUGCAGCGAUGCCGCGUGAGUGAAGAAGGCCUUUGGGUUGUAAAGCUCUUUCGUCGGGGAAGAAAAUGACUGUACCCGAAUAAGAAGGUCCGGCUAACUUCGUGCCAGCAGCCGCGGUAAUACGAAGGGACCUAGCGUAGUUCGGAAUUACUGGGCUUAAAGAGUUCGUAGGUGGUUGAAAAAGUUGGUGGUGAAAUCCCAGAGCUUAACUCUGGAACUGCCAUCAAAACUUUUCAGCUAGAGUAUGAUAGAGGAAAGCAGAAUUUCUAGUGUAGAGGUGAAAUUCGUAGAUAUUAGAAAGAAUACCAAUUGCGAAGGCAGCUUUCUGGAUCAUUACUGACACUGAGGAACGAAAGCAUGGGUAGCGAAGAGGAUUAGAUACCCUCGUAGUCCAUGCCGUAAACGAUGUGUGUUAGACGUUGGAAAUUUAUUUUCAGUGUCGCAGGGAAACCGAUAAACACACCGCCUGGGGAGUACGACCGCAAGGUUAAAACUCAAAUGAAUUGACGGGGACCCGCACAAGUAGUGGAGCAUGUGGUUUAAUUCGAAGAUACGCGCAGAACCUUACCAACACUUGACAUGUUCGUCGCGACUCUAAGAGAUUAGAGUUUUCGGUUCGGCCGGACGAAACACAGGUGCUGCAUGGCUGUCGUCAGCUCGUGUCGUGAGAUGUUGGGUUAAGUCCCGCAACGAGCGCAACCCUCACUUUUAGUUGCCAUCAUUAAGUUGGGCACUCUGAAAGAACUGCCAGUGAUAAGCUGGAGGAAGGUGGGGAUGACGUCAAGUCCUCAUGGCCCUUACGUGUUGGGCUACACACGUGCUACAAUGGUAUCUACAACAGGAAGCAAGACUGCGAAGUUAAGCAAAUCCCUAAAAGAUACCUCAGUUCGGAUUGCACUCUGCAACUCGAGUGCAUGAAGCUGGAAUUACUAGUAAUCGUGGAUCAGCGUGCCACGGUGAAUGCGUUCCCGGGUCUUGUACACACCGCC